GUGGUGUCGGUUCGCAGGUCGUGGCCUCUCAUGGCCACGGUGCUUUUGGCCCUGCUCGUCUACCUGGGGGCGCUGGUCGACGCCUACCCCAUCAAACCCGAGGCUCCCGGCGAAGACGCCUUCCUGGGGUAGCUGAGCCGCUGCUACGCCUAUCCUCGCCACUACCUCAUCCUGGUCACUCAGCCGUCGUAUGGGAAACUAGGCCGCCCGGUCGCGCGCCUCUCCAAAACGUUCUUCCCAGACUGCGAGGACCGCCUCGGCAGGUGGCGGUAAAAGCGCCCC
rnacentral:lncRNA from 1 species